rnacentral:rRNA from 1 species
UACGAAGGGUGCAAGCGUUACUCGGAAUUACUGGGCGUAAAGCGUGCGUAGGUGGUGAUUUAAGUCCGUUGUGAAAGCCCUGGGCUCAACCUGGGAAUUGCAGUGGAUACUGGGUCACUAGAAUGUGGUAGAGGGUAGCGGAAUUCCUGGUGUAGCAGUGAAAUACGUAGAGAUCAGGAGGAACAUCCGUGGCGAAGGCGGCUACCUGGACCAACAUUGACACUGAGGCACGAAAGCGUGGGGAGCAAAC